rnacentral:rRNA from 1 species
UACGUAGGGUGCGAGCGUUGUCCGGAAUUAUUGGGCGUAAAGAGCUUGUAGGCGGUCUGUCGCGUCUGCUGUGAAAAUCCGGGGCUCAACCCCGGACUUGCAGUGGGUACGGGCAGACUAGAGUGUGGUAGGGGAGACUGGAAUUCCUGGUGUAGCGGUGAAAUGCGCAGAUAUCAGGAGGAACACCGAUGGCGAAGGCAGGUCUCUGGGCCGAUACUGACGCUGAUGCGCGAAAGCCAGGGGAGCAAACGGG